AGGGGAAUUUCGCCAAUCUUGCCGAGGAGCUGUCGUUACGUUCCAACUUGCAGUGAGUAUUCCAUGGAGGCAUAUAAGAGGUACGGUGUUUUGAAGGGUACAACUUUGACUGUGUGGCGUCUGUGUCGUUGCAAUCCUCUUGGUGGGUCUGGAUAUGAUCCUCCAAGAUGGUUUGGUGAGAUUAGACAAGGGGAAGAACUUGACGAUUGAUUAAUUUCUAGUGGCAUAUUUUGAAUCGGUAAGCACUGCAAACUGAGCAUUUUAUAAACUGAAGUUACUUGAUGUGCUAAUACUGAGGGCUCUUAGGUGUUUUUCCAUCUGGUUUCUUGUGUUACUUUGUAACAAUGCAAAAGAAGAUUUGUUCUUGGAUCUUACCACAUCAGAGAAAUUAGAUCAGGAAGAACCAUAGCUGAGAUUAGAAUAUUGUUGACGAUGAUCAAAUUAAAUGUAUUUCAUAUUUGUACUGCAAAAGAAAAUACGGUAUGAAACAGUAAACAUAUUUUUUCAUCUUUUAA